rnacentral:misc_RNA from 1 species
AACGGUCUAUACCUGCGGUACCUGCGGAGGGAUCAUUACUGAGUGAGGGCCCUCUGGGUCCAACCUCCCACCCGUGUUUAUUGUACCUUGUUGCUUCGGCAGGCCCGCCUCACGGCCGCCGGGGGGCUUUCCGCCCCCGGGCCCGCGCCUGCCGGAGACAAUCUUGAACGCUGUCUGAAGAAUGCAGUCUGAGCGAUUAAGCAAAAUUAGUUAAAACUUUCAACAACGGAUCUCUAGAUC